rnacentral:rRNA from 1 species
UACGUAGGGUGCGAGCGUUAAUCGGAAUUACUGGGCGUAAAACGUGCGCAGGCGGUGAUGUAAGACAGGUGUGAAAUCCCCGGGCUUAACCUGGGAACUGCAUUUGUGACUGCAUCGCUGGAGUGCGGCAGAGGGGGAUGGAAUUCCGCGUGUAGCAGUGAAAUGCGUAGAUAUGCGGAGGAACACCGAUGGCGAAGGCAAUCCCCUGGGCCUGCACUGACGCUCAUGCACGAAAGCGUGGGGAGCAAACAGG